AAAGUAGCGGCUUAUAGUCCGAAAAAUACGAUGUGUGUGUGUAUAUACAUAUAUAUUUGCAAAUGCUAUCACCUUUGCAGGUGUCAGAGUGUGCUGUUUGCCAGUCUGCAGGACACAAAUAAAGGACUCCGUUGAGCACACCCCAAUAAAGGUUUCACAACCGUUUGAGCUUGUUGGAAUGGACCUAAUAGGGAAAGUGAAAACCACAGAAAGUAGAAAUCAUUACAUCUGCGUGAUGACUGACUAUUACACCAAAUGGACACAGGCAUACCCGAUUACCUCAUAAACAGCAGAAGAGGUCACUAAACAAAUACUUAAAUUUCUUUCAAUUUGAGGUACCAAAAACUCUGAUCAAGGCACAGAGUUUGUGAAUUUGAUAAACAAGAACGUCUGUGAAAAACUUGGGAUUGAAACGAUUCUCUGCACACCGUACCAUCCACAGACAAACGGUUUGGUAGAAAGAAUGAACGGCACUAUCCAAUGAUCUCUGUGCAAACUUGUGGGGUCCAAACCAGAAACUUGGGACGAGUUUCUGGACACAGUAAUUGUUGGAGCUAUUUAUUCUUUAUUUCUUUAUCCAUUUGAAUUUUGUUAGUUUAUUCUUAAAUUUCUAUUUUUUGUAUUAUUUACAGAGUAAAUUUACAGGUUAAUAAUUGUUGAUUCUAUUUAUCUUUUGUUUUAUUAAUUUUCUUAUUUGUUCUUUCUGAGUCAGACAGGAAGUAAGGUGGGUCAGUCCACUUUCUAUAAGUGUAGGGGCCUGGUAAAGGACCAGCAGGCAUUUGGGUUUGGGGCCUAUGGUUUUUUAACAGAGCAAGAGAGGUAGCAUGAGAACAAAGGAAAGUUUGAACUCUGUAAUUGUUUGCUGAAAUAGGAAAAUAAAUCAUCCAGAACAAUCAA